rnacentral:lncRNA from 1 species
AUGUGUUUCAGCAACCAAAAAGAACCUGUUCUGCUCUUACUAGCAUGCAGAUUUAGCUUAGGAGAAAGUAUUGAUCUAUUGCAGAUAUCUGCUUUGUGGCCGACCAGCUUCUUACAGACCUGGAAAGUGAAUGUAAAAAUCAGCAUUAGUUUCCUUGCAGGAAAAAAAAAAAAAAAAAAAAAAAAAGCAUGCAGUACCGGCACAAAACUAAUAUUUCCUCUUCUAAAACAAGAGAUGAUAGGCUUUGGACUACUCUGCAAAGACAAACUGAUUAAUAGAAGGCUAAGAACAGCAUUUGUUAUGAGCUAGCAGCAACACACAAACUCCCUGAAUAGAAUAGGAUGUCUUUUUUUAACACAGUAUCAUCUAAGAAGGAUACAUUAGUUAAGCAGACUGCUUAACCAUUCUACUAUAUCUUACUUUACAUUGUUUUUCUUGUGUAAACAAGUCCUGGAAAUCAUAGGGAGGAAAAGUUUAUAAAUCUUUUAUGGUGCAGGAUUUAUCAGAUGUUGGUCAUUAUGAAAGUUAGGAAACGGUAUUUGGCAAAUAACAAAUUGGAUACAGUUUGUUCAUCUUUACGUUCCUCAAGUUUGCCUUUUCCUGGAAACAUGAACAUAGGCCACUAGCCUUUCCCAGGUGCUACUGGCAUCUCUACCAAUACACUAUUUUCUCCAUUCAUUUUCAAAAAAAUUCAUUGCUAUAUAUUUACUCUUCAUAAAUUUUCUAGAAUUGUUUACUUGUAACUUAGCCUGGAUUCUACCAGUGCUACUUAAAAUAAUAUGAGCCUGUUAUGUAGUAUUGUGUUUCCUUUCUAAUUGUAAGAUGGGCUAAGCUUCUGAUUAGGCAAACAGAUUGCAAUCAAACUCCUAAUAUGGCUUACGAGGGUAAAGAAUAACAGGGCCUUUAGCGACCUCUGUUCAAUACAGGUUUACGGAUGGUUCCUUUAAAUGUAUGUUAACAUAGCUUUCCAAUUUACUAGAGAGAGGAAACUUACACUGACAAGGAGACGGUGUUAUGGGGGUGGAAAAUAUACAGGAUCCAAUCAGUGAAGCAGGAGGUGGGAGGAACAGCUGCUUCUUAAGUAAUGACAUAUAAGUAAUAUUAGUCCCACUGGCUUAAUUACAUUGUAACCUUAAACAACAAACAUCUGUUUUCCAUGUUUUCUUCCCAGAGGCCCUGACAUUUCCAACAUAACCAAACCUUCUUAUAUUUUUCAUGAUAAAAUAGUUUGAAACAGUAAAUAGUAGAAAUGUUAUUAGUAUGAAAUUACAUCAACAAAAAGAUCCAUGGGAAAAGCAUAUCACAGUUUUUUUCAGUUUCCUAGCCUCCUAUAUGCUACUUGCUUGUAUGUUACAAAAUGUACAAAUGAAGGAUGGGGAAAUAGUAGAUUAAGAUGAAGUAUAUCAGUAUUUUUUAAUUCCUGUCCUCAUGAAUGUUUGGAAAGAGCACGCACCUAUGAUAUAUGAGACAUGCUUAACUUUCAGAUCAAUUCAGUUUCCAAAAUAAAAAUAACUGGUGAAUCA